GGCCCAAACUCCUACGGGAGGCAGCAGUGGGGAAUAUUGCACGAUGGGGGAAACCCUGAUGCAGCGACGCCGCGUGAGCGAAGAAGUAUUUCGGUAUGUAAAGCUCUAUCAGCAGGGAAGAAAUGACGGUACCUGACUAAGAAGCACCGGCAAAUACGUGCCAGCAGCCGCGGUAAUACGUAUGGUGCAAGCGUUAUCCGGAUUUACUGGGUGUAAAGGGAGCGCAGGCGGUACGGCAAGUCUGAUGUGAAAUCCCGGGGCUCAACCCCGGUACUGCAUUGGAAACUGUCGGACUAGAGUGUCGGAGGGGUAAGUGGAAUUCCUAGUGUAGCGGUGAAAUGCGUAGAUAUUAGGAGGAA
rnacentral:rRNA from 1 species